rnacentral:rRNA from 1 species
GACGAACGCUGGCGGCGUGCUUAACACAUGCAAGUCGAACGGACAGGCCCUGCUGUUGUGGGGUGCUCGAGUGGCGAACGGAUGAGUAACAAGUGAGUAACCUGCCCUCGCAUUUGGGCUAACUUCAGGACACUGGGGAUAGUAACGGAUAGGAGCUCCUGCUGCAUGGGGGGGGUGGGAAGGUUUCGGCGGUUGGGGAUGGACUCGCGGCUUAUCAGCUGGUGGGUGGGGUAGUGGUUUACCAAGGCUUUGACUGAUAGCCGGCCUGAGAGGGUGACCGGCGCCCUUGGGCCUGAGAGACGGCCCAGUCUCCUACGGGCCGCAGCGGUGGGGAGUAUUGCGGAAUGGGGGGACGCCUGAUGCGGCGGCGCCCCGGGCGUGAUGACGGCUUUCGGGUUGUAAACCGCUUUCGCCUGUGCCGAAGCGUGAGUGACGGUAACUGGUAAGGAAGCCCCGGCUAACUACGUG